rnacentral:rRNA from 1 species
CGGGACGGGUGAGUAACGCGUGGGUAACCUGCCUCAUACAGGGGGAUAACAGUUAGAAAUGGCUGCUAAUACCGCAUAAGACCACAGCACCGCAUGGUGCAGGGGUAAAAACUCCGGUGGUAUGAGAUGGACCCGCGUCUGAUUAGCUGGUUGGUGGGGUAACGGCCUACCAAGGCGACGAUCAGUAGCCGACCUGAGAGGGUGACCGGCCACAUUGGGACUGAGACACGGCCCAG